UAGGGAAUCUUCGGCAAUGGACGAAAGUCUGACCGAGCAACGCCGCGUGAGUGAAGAAGGUUUUCGGAUCGUAAAACUCUGUUGUUAGAGAAGAACAAGGACGUUAGUAACUGAACGUCCCCUGACGGUAUCUAACCAGAAAGCCACGGCUAACUACGUGCCAGCAGCCGCGGUAAUACGUAGGUGGCAAGCGUUGUCCGGCUUUAUUGGGCGUAAAGCGAGCGCAGGCGGUUUCUUAAGUCUGAUGUGAAAGCCCCCGGCUCAACCGGGGAGGGUCAUUGGAAACUGGGAGACUUGAGUGCAGAAGGGGAGAGUGGAAUUCCAUGUGUAGCGGUGAAAUGCGUAGAUAUAUGGAGGAACACCAGUGGCGAAGGCGGCGCUCUGGUCUGUAACUGACGCUGAGGCUCGAAAGCGUGGGGAGCAAACAGG
rnacentral:rRNA from 1 species